rnacentral:tRNA from 1 species
GGGGGUAUAGCUCAGUUGGCUAGAGCGCUUGCUUCGCAUGCAAGAGGUCGGGGGUUCAAGUCCCCCUAUCUCCA